rnacentral:misc_RNA from 1 species
GAUGAAGAACGUAGCGAAAUGCGAUAAGUAGUGUGAAUUGCAGAAUUCAGUGAAUCAUCGAAUCUUUGAACGCACAUUGCGCCCCAUGGUAUUCCGUGGGGCAUGCCUGUUCGAGCGUCAUUUACCCCCUCAAGCUCCGCUUGGUGUUGGGCGUCUGUCCCGCUUCGCGCGCGGACUCGCCCCAAAGGUAUUGGCAGCGGUCGUGCCAGCUUCUCGCGCAGCACAUUGCGCUUCUCGAGGCACCGGUAGGCCCGCGUCCAUCAAGCUCACCCCCCCAGUUUGACCUCGGAUCAGGUAGGGAUACCCGCUGAACUUAAGCAUAUCAAUAAGCGGAGGA